AUGCUAGAUGUGAGCAACAAUAACCUCACUGAUGUGUUACCACGGCAACUCGGGAAGUUGGAGAUGCUAGAAUUUCUGAAUUUAUCACAUAAUCAGUUCAGUGGGAGCAUCCCAUCAUCCUUUGCAAACAUUGUGAGCCUUUCAACAGUCGAUGUGUCCUACAACGACUUGGAAGGACCAAUCCCAAUAACAAGGCUACUAAAAAAUGCUUCAACAAGUUGGUUUCUUCCAAAUAAAUGUCUAUGUGGUAACCUCUCUAGCAUGCCACCUUGUUAUUCAACCCCAGUAGCUGCUCACAAAAAGGGGAAGUUACUUGGUUUGAUUUUGCCAAUUGUUCUUGUGAUGGCUGUCAGCAUUGUUGCGACAACUGUUGUCAUAAUAAUACUUACUCGUAUGAAGAGAAAACCACAAGAAAGUGUUACCACUAAAGCAAGGGGUGUAUUCUCCGUUCGGAAUUUUGAUGGAAGAUUAGCAUUUGAUGAUAUUGUAAGGGCAACAGAAGACUUUGAUGAUAAGUACAUCAUUGGAAUAGGAGGAUACGACAAAGUCUACAAGGCACAACUCCAAGACGGGCAGCUAGUUGCUAUCAAGAGGCUUCAUCAGGUCGAAGAAGAGUUGGAAGAUGAAAGAAGAUUCCAUAGUGAAAUGGAAAUCUUAACACAAAUCCGACAACGAAGCAUUGUCAAAAUGUAUUGA
rnacentral:rRNA from 1 species